ensembl:lncRNA
UUUAAAACUACUUCUAAUCUAAAAAGUGCCUGAAGAUUAUGACAUGAUGCAAGGUAGUAUUUUCUGAAGCGGGUUACAGGGUGAAGGACGACAACCUCCCGCAUGACCUAUGACCCUCAAUGCGUCGCACACAAGACAGACGGCACGGCCGGCAGGUAGCGCCCCGCUGCGGUGCACCCUUCUAAUGGAAAGACGAGGCUGGCGAAUCAGAGGCCGAACAAGGAGAGCACCUUGGGUGAGAGAGCGGGGAGUCACGGCGCCACCUACAGGUAAAUAAAUAAAAAGCGCGAACACAACACACGACACCACACACAUCAAGUGGCGCCAAAUGGAACAUUCUGAAGACAUCUUUGAAGUAUUAGAAGGACACCUAGACCCUUAACGGUGGGUCUGCAGGUUCCCCGGCCACAACAGACACUGUCCCUCAUCCAACUUGGCAAAUUUCUCCCUCAGUGGACAAGUUCCCAGUGGACUCGUCUGUGGUUUCUGUUGGAGGACAGAUGUUCCUUCUGGAACCUGUUAAUAUCGUGUGCCUGGUAACAGUUUGUGUUCUGAAACACUCGUGCCGCAUUUCUGCCGCAUUUUCGCCCCCAGAACUGAAUCUGUUUGUGUGUGUGUGUGUGUGUGUGUGUGUGUGUGUGUAACGGAUUAGCGAAGCCGGAUGUGAUUGUGUCCGAGUUCCUGGUGGAGCGCGGCCACAGCUGUUCCGUCUCUCACUUCAUGCCGGGCAGGGGGCCGAGAACGAGGGCGGAGGACCCUACACGGCGACAGCUGAAGAUGCACGUGCUGAAAGCGAUGAUUCCUGCCUGGUUGGUGUGUGUGAUGUUGCGUCCCGUCGCGGGCUUCUCCCACGGUGCCGCGUCCUCGUCCUGCUGGGACAUGAAGCCCGGACACGUCGGAGCCCAACGGGCGGACGCACACACACACACCACGCUCAUCUUGCAGCCGGAGUACCUGCCGCGUCACACACUUACAGGUACGCACACACACACACACCAUACAAACAUACACACAGACGCCCUUUAUCCAAAGUACAGUCCAGGGGGACAGUCCCCCAGGAGUAACUCAGGGUCAAAUGUCUGGGACACAAUGGCAGUAAGUGGGGCUUGAGCCUGUGACUUUGUGGUCUCCUGGUUUCUAGGCGAGUGUGUUACUCGGCACCAGCGCUGUGUUCAAAGGGACAAAUCUUUCAAGCGAACGUACAGGAUCGUCUUCCGUUAGACUCACCAGCUCAGGUGCUAAGUUCGCACACGACCCGACACGGCGUGUGACAAGCAGCGUUUAAAAGCUCACGACUCUCGUGGCGAUUUGCGGGUGGGAAUCCUUCGCCGAAUGUACCGCGGGGAACGCGGUCGGCGAAUGGAUCACUCAGUGAAGCCCAAUUCGCUGAGCAGGCCAGUUCAACAGCAGACCAUAGAACAGGACAUCGUCGUUUAUAGACGACUUUAUUUUCGUGUGAACUGAACUGAAUCCUGAAUCCCGUAUCAGUUCGGGAAGUCGCAGUCGCCGAGCACCGACUGAUUUGGCGAACGAAGCUUUUGAACGGAUUUUUCUUUGCGAACUGAUACUUGUGAUUCGGUACAUCUAAAAGAACUGCCACUCCAAUAAGCUCUGCGGCCCUCCGUCCAUUAACGGCAUCUACUAGACGCCCCUAUCCAGAACGACGUACAAUCAGUAAAUAC